GGAACGUUGGAGAAGAUCUUGGCGUUAACAUUGGCGCUAGAAGGAGGGCUGAGUUCUGGUGUCCUGAGUAUUUUUCAAUCACAGACUGCGUUUGUUCUAUGUCAGUAUUCAUGGUGAAGAGUAGAAUACCUACACCCGAAGGGCAGCCGAUGGCUGUCAGUGAAUCAGCACCACGAGUGUCUGCCAAAGAUCGUUUGGGACCUACAAUAAGUGUUCACGCCAGCACAGCGUCCAAACGUUCACCUGAAGAUUCUCGGCC
rnacentral:lncRNA from 1 species